rnacentral:lncRNA from 1 species
CAGAUCUGUCCUGCUGCAGCCUUUCCUGUAGAUCUGUUGAUGGAGAUCUCACCCACACCUCAAACGACCUCAGAUCAACUCCAGAUCUGAGAGAGACUUGUACCAACCUCUUGUCAAGAGAUUUUAGAUCCUACACCUGGUAUUUGGGUGCCUGUAAGAGAGGGGAGAGAAGAAAUGGCUGGCAGCUGCAAAGGGGGGAAG